GAUCCUGGCUCAGGAUGAACGCUAGCUACAGGCUUAACACAUGCAAGUCGAGGGGCAGCGGGAUUGAAGCUUGCUUCAAUCGCCGGCGACCGGCGCACGGGUGAGUAACGCGUAUCCAACCUUCCGUACACUCAGGGAUAGCCUUUCGAAAGAAAGAUUAAUACCUGAUGGUAUCUUAAGCACACAUGUAAUUAAGAUUAAAGAUUCAUCGGUGUACGAUGGGGAUGCGUUCCAUUAGGUAG
rnacentral:rRNA from 1 species